AGUGAACGCUGGCGGUAGGCCUAACACAUGCAAGUCGAACGGCAGCACAGUAAGAGCUUGCUCUUACGGGUGGCGAGUGGCGGACGGGUGAGGAAUACAUCGGAAUCUACUUUUUCGUGGGGGAUAACGUAGGGAAACUUACGCUAAUACCGCAUACGACCUACGGGUGAAAGCAGGGGAUCUUCGGACCUUGCGCGAUUGAAUGAGCCGAUGUCGGAUUAGCUAGUUGGCGGGGUAAAGGCCCACCAAGUCGACGAUCCGUAGCUGGUCUGAGAGGAUGAUCAGCCACACUGGAACUGAGACACGGUCCAGACUCCUACGGGAGGCAGCAGUGUGGAAUAUUGGACAAUGGGCGCAAGCCUGAUCCAGCCAUACCGCGUGGGUGAAGAAGGCCUUCGGGUUGUAAAGCCCUUUUGUUGGGAAAGAAAAGCAGCAGGUUAAUACCCCGCUGUUCUGACGGUACCCAAUGAAUAAGCACCGGCUAACUUCGUG
rnacentral:rRNA from 1 species